GAUGAACGCUGGCGGCAUGCUUUACACAUGCAAGUCGAACGGCAGCACAGGGAGCUUGCUCCCGGGUGGCGAGUGGCGCACGGGUGAGUAAUACAUCGGAACGUGUCCUGUUGUGGGGGAUAACUGCUCGAAAGGGUGGCUAAUACCGCAUGAGACCUGAGGGUGAAAGCGGGGGAUCGCAAGACCCCGCGCAAUUGGAGCGGCCGAUGCCCGAUUAGCUAGUUGGUGAGGUAAAGGCUCACCAAGGCGACGAUCGGUAGCUGGUCUGAGAGGACGACCAGCCACACUGGGACUGAGACACGGCCCAG
rnacentral:rRNA from 1 species